UCCCUAGUGUCUCAGCAGUAAAGAGUCUGCCUGCCAUGCAGGAGACCCAGGUUCGAUCCCUGAGUCAGGAA
rnacentral:tRNA from 1 species